GAUGAAGAACGCAGCAAAAUGCGAUAAGUAAUGUGAAUUGCAGAAUUCAGUGAAUCAUCGAAUCUUUGAACGCACAUUGCGCCCGCCAGUAUUCUGGCGGGCAUGCCUGUUCGAGCGUCAUUUCAACCCUCAAGCACAGCUUGGUGUUGGGACUCGCGUUAAUUCGCGUUCCCCAAAUUGAUUGGCGGUCACGUCGAGCUUCCAUAGCGUAGUAGUAAAACCCUCGUUACUGGUAAUCGUCGCGGCCACGCCGUUAAACCCCAACUUCUGAAUGUUGACCUCGGAUCAGGUAGGAAUACCCGCUCAACUUAAGCAUAUCAAUAAGCGGAGGA
rnacentral:misc_RNA from 1 species